GAUGAACGCUAGCGGCAGGCUUAAUACAUGCAAGUCGAGGGGCAUCAAGGUACACGAAAGUGUAUUGUUGGCGACCGGCGGACGGGUGAGUAAUAGGUAGGUAACCUACCUCAUACUGAGGCAUAGCUGGGAGAAAUUCCAGGUAAUUCCUCAUGAGGUUAUAUGACACAUGUGAUAUAAUCAAAGGUAUCGCAAGGUACUGGUAUGAGAUGGGCUUACUGACCAUUAGCUAGUUGGUGAGAUAAGAGCUCACCAAGGCGAAGAUGGUUAGGGGUUUUGAGAGAGAGAUCCCCCACAUUGGAACUGAGAUACGGUCCAGACCCCUACGGGAGGCAGCAGUAGGGAAUAUUGGGCAAUGGGCGGAAGCCUGACCCAGCCAUGCCGCGUGAAGGAAGACGGCCUUAUGGGUUGUAAACUUCUUUACUAUGCGACUAACUAGAUUUACGAGAUAAUUCUAUAGAAUGUAGCAUAGCAAAAGCACCGGCUAA
rnacentral:rRNA from 1 species